AUGACUCCGGUGGUUGAGGCCGAGUGGAGGAAGCGGCUGCAGGGCCGUCGCGCGGGCCGAGGGGAUGACGCCACGACCACAGUUCGUCUGGCAGUGGAGGCCAUGGACGAAGAAGGGGAGCUGCUCGCUGGCGGUGGCCGGAGGCAGGGGCAAGGCAAGGAAGGAGGAGAGGCCGGUGUGGUCCUGGUGGAGCUCGGCGGCGGCGUCGCAGGCUUGCCGGUGCCGGGAAUGAGGUGCAGGAGAGGAGAGGCCGGCGAGGAAGACCGGGAGCAGGGGCGUCGUCGCACAAGCUCCUUUAUGGUGUGUGAAGUGGGAGACGAGGAGAUGGGGCGCUCGGUCUGGCGGCGCGAGGGGAGAAGGUGA
rnacentral:rRNA from 1 species